rnacentral:lncRNA from 1 species
CCAAACUUCCAAUAUAUAUGGCUAAAAUAAUUUAGAGCUUCACAAUUUCUGGGAUGUGCACUGGGUACCUAUCAAUGCAGUCUUGCCAUGGUCCGUCAGUUGGUGUGCGAACUGUGCGGUUGCAUUUCCAAACAGCACUGUUACAUUUGAAUCCACUUCCAAAAGCUAUUUGCCAAAUUCUAUCACCCUUUUUCAUCCUUCCUUUGGCCUCGAUGUAACCCAACUCGUACCAUAACGAAGACG